rnacentral:misc_RNA from 1 species
GAUGAAGAACGCAGCGAAAUGCGAUAAGUAAUGUGAAUUGCAGAAUUCAGUGAAUCAUCGAAUCUUUGAACGCACAUUGCGCCCCUUGGUAUUCCGAGGGGCAUGCCUGUUCGAGCGUCAUUAUAACCCCUCAAGCUCAGCUUGGUGUUGGGGCCUGCUGCACUGGCAGCCCUUAAAAUCAGUGGCGGCGCCAUCUGGCUCUAAGAGUAGUAAUUCUUCUCGCUAUGGAGUCCUGGUGGAUGCUUGCCAUCAACCCCCAAUUUUUCUAUGGUUGACCUCGGAUCAGGUAGGGAUACCCGCUGAACUUAAGCAUAUCAAUAAGCGGAGGA